CUCUGUCGCCAUCUUGGUUGUACUGCAGUAACGUUCCAUUUCCUUGGUCACAGGUGAGCUAACUUUGAAACGUAACAUCACGUUUCGUGCGACGGCAAGCUUGGCUGGAUAAUAUCCAGAGGAAACACAAGCUGCUAGCGGUUAGCGAUGAUGUCUCUGUCCGAUUACACCAAGACAAAAACCCUGGAAGAUCGCCUUUCGCUCCUGUGGCCGACUCCACGAAGUACAACGACCUGCUGGGGAUGUCGAGAAUAUGAGCCAGGGUUUCUUAAGCAUUUCUUGGAAUAACAAACUUGCAAACAAAGAAGGUUUUUCAGUCGUAUCAUUUUCAUUGGCUGAAACACUGUGUUGUAGUUGAGUUCCUCAUAUUUGAUUGAUCUGUUUGUUAAUUUCCUGGAUGCACUUAAGGAGACACUGAGCGAAGUGUUCCUGCGCCGUGUGGAGCUCUGCAAACAGCCAUAAGAAAGCCACGGUAUAAAACAUUUAGGCUCAAGGCUCCUCUGCUUCAGAUCAUAUGCCUGGCCUGCCGUGGUCAAAUCAGAUAGAUAACCUGUGCUCUUUUAAAGAGAGACAGUGAGCCUCAUCUCGCUAUGAGGCAGGUGGAGACAGAUGCCUCAUUAUCCAUGCUGCAGGGGACAAAACAGGCCCGGCACUGGAGGACCCCCUCACUGGCGUUUAGUUUCCAGUGAGCAGACACAAGGCAGCCACAGAGCGACACGGACAGCGCUCAUCUCUGACCUUAGCGAGCGCAGGUCGCUCGCUGAGUCACAUUAAACUUUCAGAGGACCCAAAGGUCCCCGUCAGGAGUGUUAACAGCACCAUUGUUCCUGUUCCCGCUGACUCAAAGGGCCAAGUGUAACAGGGCACCCCACUGCAGUCAGGGCCACCCCCCCACUCCACUGCUGGAGUUACAGGGACAGCGACACCCUUCAAAUCCGCCCGCAGCACAUCCGAGUCUGUCAGACACCACAAAAUUACACAAACUGAAAUGACAAAAAUAAGUCUGCUUAAUGGAAUAUUGAAUAAAUUUACAUUUUUCAAUUAAGUUUUUGAGCCAUGUUGAAAUUGGUGUAUUUCGCAGAACUGCAAUGGAAACACUUCUCACAUCACAUGAGUCACAUGAGCAACAACCGGAUGUUACUACUGGCGAAAAUGACAAAGAAGACAACAGGAUGUGGUUGGAGUCAUGGCAUGUUGUUUAACGAGUAAUUACGUGAAAAGUCUUAUUCUCUUGUGAUUUUAAUCUGUUUUUUUAUUUAUUGGAAACAAAGCAAUUAUGUAGUUGUUUAUUUGACAUUAGUGGAAUAUUGUCAAAGUUUCACGCACCUUUGUAAUGGAAACGCAGAUAAUGACACCCUUCAAAUCAGCUCACAGCUCAUUGAAGUCUGUCAGACAGUAGCUGUGUUUCCUUUGAUCAGAAAACUGAUUAAACCAAUAAUAUAUUACUUUUUUUUAUAAUUAGGAUUGUAUUGUGUUUAUCUGAAUGUUAUACAAUAUAAUAAACUAAAUCUGCAACUCUAGCAUAUUAUCCGACUGCCAGAAACUGCUGCCCUGCCUGCUGUCUUUGGUCAAACAAAUUGGCACAGAAAUCACCAGUUGCAUCUGCUUAGAGAAAAGCCUGUAAGAUAAUGAGUUUAACCUCCUACUGUUUCAAUAUGAUCGUUUUAUCUGGGGUUGUUGGAUGUAAUAUUUGAAAAACAAAGUGCUUUGUGGCAGACAAAGAAAACACCUGCUUCAGAUUUUAUGACAUCACUUCAACAAGCUGCGACUUGGCAGCCGGAUGCAGCUGAAAAUGCAAAGACAUGAAUAGAAACAAUAGAGAGAGUGAUUAAAUGCUUAUUGUUUUUUCAAAUUAGGAAUUUUAAUGGGGGUGGAGUUGUUAGCUCUGCUUUUCUGCAUCAUGUUUUCAUUAUUCCCAUUCAAAGAAAAUCUACAAUUCACAAUAAUUAACUGGCCGAAUAUGGACUUGAUUGAACUAAAGAUACAAACUGUUCAAUUGUCAGAGAGACUUGUUUUAGGAAAAAAUACCUAACAGGUCAACAAACAACUGCAACUAGCGAUUAUUUUAGUAAUCAAUUAUUCUGACGAUUAAUUAAUGGGAUAAAAAAAAAA